rnacentral:lncRNA from 1 species
GGGAAGUUUGUCUUUGGAAGAUUGAUUCAAACAAUGAGGAAAACAAGACUUUGAUAGCAUCAUCAAGAGUCACCCUUAAGACCAACAUGUCUGUACCUGAUAAUGCCAAAGAUGCUGCUGUCAAUCUCAAGAAAUAUGCUAAGUUAUGAUCAAGUUCAGUUGAGUUUGUUUGCAGCAUAUUCGAUUGUAUAAGCAAAACUGUAGAGAGUAACAAGGCAAUAAAGUAGAGCAAAGAGUAUUAUUGGGUGUGCAAAACAUGUUGUGAACCCCUUGCUAUUGUUUGUCCUGAUAAGUUGUUUUGAAUACCCAAAAAAGAGUAAAAACUACAUUAUCUGAUGAUUUCUUUGGUUUGUGGAUCAUAUUGGUUUGACCAUUUAUCUGUUUCCUAAAUUUUAUUUUAACCAAGCCCAACUAUACCAGGCUAAAAAAGAAGUUGAAGGAAGAUGAGAAGGUAACUUCAAUUUGCCCGAUCAGCAGAGGGCGGCGUGCUUAUCUAGUGUGCCAAUGCUACAGAGUGAGUUGCUCUUCUAGGCGGGCAGCUUGUGACAACACUACAGAGAAAGCGGCACUGGACCUACCCGGGUUUGUUCCCUCAAUAAGCACAUUAAAAUGCUCUCUCUAAGUUUUCUGGAAUAAAGGCAAACCUUAAUCAUUUCUCCGAUAAGCAAGUAGGUUAGGUUAAUUGAUCGAUCAAUCAACUAACCCUUACUCUUAUAUCAGUUGUUGUCGUCUAUAUAAUCCUCAAUAUCCAUUUGGCCUUAUUUUCCAAUAUUAAUCAAGUCUUUAAACAAGUAGGCUAACAGCUAGUUGGCCAAGCACCUCUCUUGAGGCAACUCUAGCACUACACUUGGGAACAAUGAUUGUCAAUUAAAAAUGUUACAUCAAUCAUUACAUGUAAAUGUUUCACCAAGAGCUUAAUAGCUAAACCUCAUAACUAUGUGUUAACACUUCAUUAACUAUGAGCAUAUCCUAAUGAAUAGUUUAAGUGAGACUGCAUCAUAAAGAUAGUAUUACGUCAAUCUUAUUAAUUGAAAUCUCAUUCAUCUGACCCAGCCACGUAGGUUGAUAUUACACAGCAACGCCCCUAGCAUUGGCUUUUCCCCAUUACAAUUUACACUCGAGCUGCUAUCCUACCAUCUCAUCCAAUUGUCCACCUUCUCCACAACACAACCUCAUUAAGAUAAUUGUGGAGUCUUAUUUUACCCCAACAACUAAUGUCCUUUUUGUAAUAUAAUAAUUGUUAGAAAGUUCUCAUUCUCCAUGUGCGUAGUAGCAACACAACCUCAAUAAAGGUCAUUUUAGACGAAGUAGUCAGAACUUUAAUAACAAGAUAAACCAUCCAGAAAAUGCUGUAGAUCACCUAAACCAUAAGCUCCUAUAGAAAAUUUAAGGAGCUUUGAAAUCCAAAAAUUCAUCCACAUCAUGUGCAUAUCUGAGGAAACAACAAAAAGACAUCAAACAUUUGAAAGAGCGACUAGAGGGGAAAACUCCCUCAAAACAUCUAUGGUUCUUUCUCUCCACUAGGACCACAGAAAUGCAGCCCAAUAUAGUAUGUUAUAUCUUUCUUAAGGGUUCCUGACCUGCCGCACCAGCUAACAUAUGCAUCUUUCAGAGUGUAGGGCAUUACCCGCGGUAUACCAGCAGGGACCUAAAACAUGAAUCCCACAUAUCCUUAGCCAAUGUGCAAUGUAGGAAAACAUGUUUCGAUUUUCCAUCUCCGCUUUAUACUUUCAACACCUAUUACACAGAAUGACUCUUCUUUUUAUGUUCCCAGAGUCAGGCAAGCCUCACACAAAGUUAUUCAGCUAAAACAAGCUAUCUUCCUUGAACCUCUAGUUUCAUACCAGGCUUCCAUUAGCAUCAUUUUGGCUAAGCUAAAAGUUUGAUUAAUGUUGCCAGUAGCACGAUUGGUUCAUAGGAUUGAUUUUGAUUGCCAAUGGGAAUGUUACUCUGCCCUAAUUCGUAGAUUAGCUUUACAACUCCUCAAGAGAGAAAAAACUAGCUUUACAACUUUGAAGUACUUCCAUACCUAUACAAAAUUUUGUGUGUGCUUCUUAAGUUAUUAUAUAAUGGGACAAGCCUAGUAAUUCUGCAGCAUAAGUGAAGCUUAACCUUCUUAACAAUUUAAAGCUAAAGAAUUCCCAGAUAGUACUACAUAUAAGACCUAGUGGUUAAAUCUGAUUCUAGUUUAACAAAACUGAGGGAGAUAUAUUGUCGCAAACUGUAAAAUCCUGAAAUAUAAUACUUGAGUAGAAGUGAUCUUUCGAGAGUUGAAUACUUAUGUAAUUCAGGUAUUACCAAAACGUAGUUGAUGAUCAUCAUUUGUGUCUCGAGUGAAAACCUCAACUAAAUUCCACAUCAACCACUACAUUUUCAUUAAUUUCAAUCAAAUUGUCAUCCCUUAGAAUACCAAGCGUCAACUAAAUUUGACUUAUGAACAGGAAAAGAUGUAAGAUGAAUUAUUAUUGAUCCUUUGGAAAUUGAACGCUUAUAUGAUCAGGAACAAAAAUGAGAAACAAAUACUUAUUAAAAUAUGCAUAAUUUUUCUAACUAAAUGUUCAAAUGGGAAAAACCCUACAAUCUCACAACAAAAUGUGGACGAUGAUUGUCUGUAAUCUCCAUCUUUGUGCUCAAUAGACAAACUGAGCUACCUGAAUUGAUGGCAAAAGCAAAUAUUUGUGACAUCACGACAUUAUUACACUAAAAAAAUAUCAUCAUUGAAUUGCUAAGCAAUCCAACUUACAGAAAACAAGGCACACUCAAGCUAAGCUUAAACCUCAUCCAAAUUUCACAGCGAUGGCACUACAUCAUCGAUCUGCGCCAAAUUCCCUCCCAUAGAACACAGUAUGUUUCAACAAAUUUUGGCAGCUGAGUGGGAGAACGACAAGAUCAACGACAAGUAAUCAUUUCGAAAUUGAAAAAGCUCAUCAAAAUUCCACAUCAACUGAAAUAAAUUUAACUACUUAUUUCUAAUCAGCGUAAAUAUUUCCAUUCCAAUGGAUGCCAAGUUUCAACUGAAUGCCUGAAUUUGGCAAAUCAAUACGGGGGGAAAGAAGAGUAAAAUCAAGAUUUAGGAAAGUUGUUUUUUUUUUCUAGCAAGAAUUUAGAACGCACCUGGAUUGAGGAAGUUAAUGGGAGCUUAAUAUAUACUAAUGGGUGUCUUAGGCCCUGUCUUUUAUUUCCCUCCAGCCAAAGUUCAAAUUUCUGCUACUGUGCUUGUUCCUUUAAGCACCUGUGAAUGAACAAAGAGCCAAAGAAAACGAAACAAACAAGGAAGAAUGAGGUAAAAGAGAUUUUGGAAGUCUUGUGUAACAAUUUAGGACACAUUAAAGG